rnacentral:rRNA from 1 species
AACUUUCAGCAACGGAUCUCUUGGCUCUCGCAUCAAUGAAAAAACCCAGCCGAAUUGCGAUAAGUAAUGUGAAUUGCARAUUUUCAGUGAAUCAUCGAAUCUUUGAACGCACCUUGCGCUCCUUGGUAUUCCGAGGAGCAUGCCUGUUUGAGUGUCAU